rnacentral:rRNA from 1 species
GAUGAACGCUGACAGAAUGCUUAACACAUGCAAGUCAACUGUGGCGGACGGGUGAGUAACGCGUAAAGAACUUGCCUCACAGCUAGGGACAACAUUUGGAAACGAAUGCUAAUACCUGAUACUGUGAGAGAGCUUUGCGUCCCAUUAGCUAGUUGGAGAGGUAACGGCUCACCAAGGCGAUGAUGGGUAGCCGGCCUGAGAGGGUUUUUGGCCACAAGGGGACCGGGACACAGCCCUUACUCUGUCGGGUGGUAGCAGUGGGGAAUAUUGGACAAGGGACCAAGGUCUAGUCCAGCAAUACUGGUUGCACGAUGAAGUUUUCUGAAUGUAAAGGGCUUUCAGUUGGGAAGCGGUACCAACAGAAGAAGUGACGGCUAAAUACGUGCCAGCAGCCGCUGUAAUUC